rnacentral:tRNA from 1 species
GCAUUCGUGGUGUAAUGGUAGCACACUCGGUGCGUAUUCGAUAUGUCCAGGUUCGAGUCCCAGCGAGGGCA